rnacentral:pre_miRNA from 1 species
AAUGCACUUGCUGGGUCGUUUGGUAAUUACACACUUAGUUUUAUAAAAAAUUGCCCAACUGUUUUCCCAAGUGGCUGUAUACCAUUUCACAUUUCUACUAGCAAU